AAAAGAAACUAACGAGGAUUCCCUUAGUAACUGCGAGUGAAGCGGGAAAAGCUCAAAUUUAAAAUCUGGCAGCGUUUGGUUGUCCGAGUUGUAACCUAGAGAAGUGCAGCCUGUGCUGGACCAUGUAUAAGUCUCCUGGAACGGAGUGUCACAGAGGGUGAGAAUCCCGUGUUUGACAUGGACUGCCAGUGCAUUGUGGCGUGCUCUCAAAGAGUCGAGUUGUUUGGGAAUGCAGCUCUAAACGGGUGGUAAAUUCCAUCUAAAGCUAAAUAUUGGCGAGAGACCGAUAGCGAACAAGUACCGUGAGGGAAAGAUGAAAAGAACUUUGGAAAGAGAGUUAAACAGUACGUGAAAUUGUUGAAAGGGAAACAUUUAAAGUCAGUUGUGUUAGCUGGGGAUCAACCUGGGGUUAUUGCUUUGGGUGUAUUUCCUGGUUGACAGGUCAACAUCAGUUCUGACCAGUAGAAAAAGGGCAAGGAAAUGUGGCACCUUCGGGUGUGUUAUAGUCCUUGGUUGUAUCUGGUGGUUGGGACUGAGGGAUGCAGCACACCGUAAGGGCCGUGGCCAGAUCAUUCAAUGGGCUGGCGACGUUUGUGCUUAUGAUGUUGGCAUAAUGGCUUUAAGUGACC
rnacentral:rRNA from 1 species